GACGAACCGUGCGAACGUUAUUCGGAAUCACUGGGCUUAAAGGGCGCGUAGGCGGGCUGCCAAGUCCGGGGUGAAAUCCUCCAGCUCAACUGGAGAACUGCCUCGGAUACUGGAAGUCUCGAGGGAGAUAGGGGCACGCGGAACCGUGGGUGGAGCGGUGAAAUGCGUUGAUAUCCAUGGGAACUCCGGUGGCGAAGGCGGCGUGCUGGAUCUCUUCUGACGCUGAGGCGCGAAAGCCAGGGGAUCAAACGGG
rnacentral:rRNA from 1 species